GUCAGUUUGCCGAGUGGUCUAAGGGGUUUACGUUCAGGUCGUAAUGUAUCGUACUCGUGGGUUCAAAUCCCACAGCUGACA
rnacentral:tRNA from 1 species